rnacentral:rRNA from 1 species
CUGAGUAGCGGCGAGCGAAAGGGAAAGAGCCCAAACCAGUGACUUGUCACUGGGGUUGCGGACAGAACAUUAACGAGAAGAUGUUGUUAACCGAACAUAACUGGAAAGUUAGACCGUAGGAGGUAAUAGUCCUGUAGGUGAAAGCGACAUUGAUCAAGUUCUGAUCCAGAGUACCACGAGACACGUGAAACCUUGUGGGAAGCAGGGAGGACCACCUCCCAAGGCUAAAUACUACCUGAUGACCGAUAGUGAAGCAGUACCGUGAGGGAAAGGUGAAAAGAACCCCGGGAGGGGAGUGAAAUAGAACCUGAAACCGUGUGCCUACAACCGGUCAAAGCCCCUUAUGAGGGUGAUGACGUGCUUUUUGUAGAACGAGCCAACGAGUUACGGUAUGUAGCAAGGUUAAGUACUUAAGGUACGGAGCCGAAGGGAAACCGAGUCUUAAUAGGGCGACUAGUUGCAUGCCGUAGACCCGAAACCGGGUGACCUAUCCAUGGCCAGGUUGAAGCGAGGGUAAAACCUCGUGGAGGACCGAACCACGUUGCUGUUGAAAAAGCAUGGGAUGAGCUGUGGAUAGCGGAGAAAUUCCAAUCGAACUCGGAGAUAGCUGGUUCUCCCCGAAAUAGCUUUAGGGCUAGCGUCGGAUAUGUGUAGUGGAGGUAGAGCACUGAAUGGGCUAGGGGGCAUAUCGCUUACCGAACCUUAUCAAACUCCGAAUGCCAUAUACAUUUAGUCCGGCAGUCAGACUACGAAUGAUAAGAUCCGUGGUCAAAAGGGAAACAGCCCAGAUCGUCAGCUAAGGUCCCAAAGUGUAAGUUAAGUGGAAAAGGAUGUGGGAUUUCUAAGACAACUAGGAUGUUGGCUUAGAAGCAGCCACUCAUUUAAAGAGUGCGUAAUAGCUCACUAGUCGAGAGAUCCUGCGCCGAAAAUGUCCGGGGCUAAAACUUACCACCGAAGCUACGGGCUUGCGUAAGCAAGCGGUAGGGGAGCGUCGUAAUCGGGCUGAAGUCGUACCGUAAGGAGCGGUGGACUGAUUACGAGUGAGAAUGUUGGCAUUAGUAGCGAGAUGUAGGUGAGAAUCCUACAGGCCGAAUAUCUAAGGUUUCCUCAGGAAGGCUCGUCCGCUGAGGGUUAGUCGGGACCUAAGCCGAGGCCGAAAGGCGUAGGCGAUGGACAACAGGUUGAUAUUCCUGUACCACUACCAUCGUUAUUAUCGAGGGUGUGACGGAGAAGGAUAGUGUGUGCUAGCGAUUGGAAAUGCUAGUCUAAGCGUUUAGGCAGUUACGGUAGGCAAAUCCGCUGUAACGUUAAUGCUGAGGCGUGAUGGGGAAGGCCCUUGAGGCUGAAGUACAUGAUUCCAUGCUUCCAAGAAAAGCAUCUAGAGAGAGAAGUAGUGCCCGUACCGCAAACCGACACAGGUAGAUGAGGAGAGAAUCCUAAGGCCGGCGGAAGAAUUGCAGUUAAGGAACUAGGCAAAUUGACCCCGUAAGUUAGCGAGAAGGGGUGCCUGCGAGAGCAGGCCGCAGAGAAUAGGCCCAAGCAACUGUUUAGCAAAAACACAGGUCUCUGCUAAAGCGCAAGCUGAUGUAUAGGGGCUGACGCCUGCCCGGUGCUGGAAGGUUAAGGGGAACACUUAGCGCAAGCGAAGGUGUGAACUUAAGCCCCAGUAAACGGCGGCCGUAACUAUAACGGUCCUAAGGUAGCGAAAUUCCUUGUCAGGU